rnacentral:rRNA from 1 species
UACGUAGGGUGCAAGCGUUGUCCGGAAUUAUUGGGCGUAAAGAGCUCGUAGGCGGUCUGUCACGUCGGCUGUGAAAACCUGGGGCUCAACUCCGGGCCUGCAGCCGAUACGGGCAGACUAGAGUUCGGCAGGGGAGACUGGAAUUCCUGGUGUAGCGGUGAAAUGCGCAGAUAUCAGGAGGAACGACCGGUGGCGAAGGCGGGUCUCUGGGCCGAAACUGACGCUGAGGAGCGAAAGCGUGGGGAGCAAACAGG